UAGGGGGAAAUUGACACAUAAAUUUAGCACAUUGAAUGAAUAAUGUGCAUGCACAAAGGGGAGAAUGAAUUUACAAGGUACUACCAUUCAUGAAGUAGCCUAUCAUUAAAGCUUCCAUUAAGAGAGUUGCAUAUCCCAUGCACCUAGCAUUCGGCCAAGGGGGAUUAAAGGGAUCUUAAAGGCUAGACAUUCAUGGACUUAAGGAUUCUUCAUGGCUAAGCAUGCAUGCACACACUAAGAGGG
rnacentral:lncRNA from 1 species